CGCGAAAACUUUACAGUGCUGGCAACAGCGAUAAGGGAACCUCGAGUGCCAGGUUACAAAUCUGGCUGUCGAGAUGCCUAAAAAGCAUUUCAUAGCAAGGGCCGGGCAAGACCGGUGCCAGCCGCCGCGGUAACACCGGCGGCUCGAGUGGUAACCGUUAUUAUUGGGUCUAAAGGGUCUGUAGCCGGCCGGAUAAGUCUCUUGAGAAAUCUGGCAGCUUAACUGUCAGGCUUUCAGGAGAUACUGUCUGGCUCGAGGCCGGGAGAGGUGAGAGGUACUUCAGGGGUAGGGGUGAAAUCUUGUAAUCCUUGAAGGACCACCAGUGGUGAAGGCGUCUCACCAGAACGGACCUGACGGCAAGGGACGAAAGCUAGGGGCACGAACCG
rnacentral:rRNA from 1 species